GUGUUAUUACCAUACAAUGCAAUGUAGUAGCCAAAACUAUUUAACACUUUCUCUCCCUAGAGAGCUGAAAGUCCGGGAUCAGGCUUGAAGGACCAUAGUUGCAGAAUCGUCCUGUCGUGAUAAAUCAGAGUGCUAUAAUUCAUCAUGCAGUCCCCCGUUCAUCUCUGUCAGAAGAGCAGCGUGUCUCACUGUGCUGCUGAAAAUGAAAUGUGAAGGUUUUGGAUAAGGAUGGAUAAGCUUUCAAGAUAUUUAUUUCAGACCAUCUGCCAUAUAGAAAUGGUCCUCUGCUACUUCUCCUGUUAUCUAGUCCCGGGCUACUCUCUCCUCCAUACCUCAGUAAAGAGGGUUCGAUACACUUCCAGUCCAGUCUCUUCCCUGGCCCUGCCUGUAUUGGAUUCAGCCCCUACCUAUUGUUUUAUUGAUCACAAAUGAAACAGUGAACUGAUCAAUACAGUCUUAAUGCGAGUUUGUUGUUCAAUCACUUGCCAUUUAAAUCACCCGGAUCACCCCCAAUGAGCUAUCUGUUUUCUGUCAUACAUCGCACAUGUAUGACAAAUGUUCCAACAAUUUGCUUUGUAAUUUUGGGGAGGAGGCUGCUACUCCCAGCUAUCAUCAUAAAUACCUAAACUCACUAUAUCUGUCGUUCAGUGCCAUGUGUUAUCCACAACUACAGUACCAGUCAAAAGAUUG